UACGAAGGGGGCUAGCGUUGCUCGGAUUGACUGGGCGUAAAGGGCGCGUAGGCGGUUUGCAUAGUCAGACGUGAAAUUCCUGGGCUUAACCUGGGGGCUGCGUUUGAUACAUGCAGGCUUGAGUUUGGAAGAGGGUCGUGGAAUUCCCAGUGUAGAGGUGAAAUUCGUAGAUAUUGGGAAGAACACCGGUGGCGAAGGCGGCGACCUGGUCCGAUACUGACGCUGAGGCGCGAAAGCGUGGGGAGCAAACAGG
rnacentral:rRNA from 1 species